GCCUUGCUAGCUCAAUCGGUAGAGCGUGAGACUCUUACAAAGUCUAUCUCAAGGUUGCGGGUUCGACCCCCGCGUGGGGCU